CGAAGGUGGGGCUGAUGACUGGGGUGAAGUCGUAACAAGGUAGCCGUACCGGAAGGUGCGGCUGGAUCACCUCCUAACAGGGAGACAAAACUGAUUAUUGAUGUCUGAUAUUUAAUUUCAGGCCAUAAUCCUGUCACCUUAGGUCGAUCGGUACCUCAGAUUAAAGAUUUUGAAAAAUGAGAAAUCAGUUUAUCUAUAGUCUUUAAUUUCAGUUCCUAAACUUGUCUAGGUCACACCCAACAGACUUUCUCCUGGGCUAUUAGCUCAGGCGGUUAGAGCGCACCCCUGAUAAGGGUGAGGUCCCUGGUUCAAGUCCAGGAUGGCCCAUUCGUUGUUGGGGGUAUAGCUCAGUUGGUAGAGCGCCUGCUUUGCAAGCAGGAUGUCAGCGGUUCGAGUCCGCUUACCUCCACUGAUCAACUACCUGAUAACUCAAUUGGAGAUUGUCAUUUGUUUUAGUGACUUAGAUGUUGUUCAUCUGAAUGAACCUAGCUUCCUGUCAUCCCUUAAUUAUUUUGAUUUAGGUUGAUAAGACGCUGGGCUCACUGAUAUUUGAAAAAUUAUCAGUUUGUUUCAGCAGAACCUUGACAACUGCAUAAGAAAAGUCUGGAAAAAAAAGCAUCUCAUAGAUUUAUAGAAGCUUUUGAUUUGGUUUUACUAAAUCAAAAUGUUUUUAUAUUCAAUUCUUGAGUUAGAGCAAAACUCUAUAGCUGAUUACUUAGCAAAUAAGUGAUGAACUAAUUUCGAAUUAGUCAGUUAAUAGAUUAAUAAAUGGUCAAGCUACAA
rnacentral:misc_RNA from 1 species